AAACCAACAGGGAUUGCCUCAGUAACGGCGAGUGAAGCGGCAAGAGCUCAAAUUUGAAAGCUGGCCCCUUCGGGGUCCGCGUUGUAAUUUGCAGAGGAUGCUUCGGGUGCAGCCCCCGUCUAAGUGCCCUGGAACGGGCCGUCAUAGAGGGUGAGAAUCCCGUCUGGGACGGGGUGUCUGCGUCCGUGUGAAGCUCCUUCGACGAGUCGAGUUGUUUGGGAAUGCAGCUCUAAAUGGGUGGUAAAUUUCAUCUAAAGCUAAAUACUGGCCGGAGACCGAUAGCGCACAAGUAGAGUGAUCGAAAGAUGAAAAGCACUUUGAAAAGAGAGUUAAACAGCACGUGAAAUUGUUGAAAGGGAAGCGUUUGCGACCAGACUCGCCCGCGGGGUUCAGCCGGCAUUCGUGCCGGUGUACUUCCCCGUGGGCGGGCCAGCGUCGGUUUGGGCGGCCGGUCAAAGGCCCUCGGAAUGUAUCACCUCUCGGGGUGUCUUAUAGCCGAGGGUGCAAUGCGGCCUGCCUGGACCGAGGAACGCGCUUCGGCUCGGACGCUGGCGUAAUGGUCGUAAAUGACC
rnacentral:rRNA from 1 species